AUGGCAGAUGCUCAGACCAUCAGGUUAAAGUCCUAUCUGCUGAGCAUGGGGAUAGCUAACCCGGUUACCAGGGAAACCUACGGCUCCGGCACACAGUACCACAUGCAGCUGGCCAGACGGCUGGCUGGAAUACUGCAGGCACCUUUGGAGGAAUGAAGAGGAAUAAUGUCACUUACGGAGGUGUACUGUUUAGUAAACCAAGCUCGAGGAAUGGAAUUGCUUUCACCAGAAGAUUUAGUGAAUGCGUGCAAGAUGUUGGAAGCGCUGAAGUUACCUCUCAGACUCCGCGUGUUUGACAGCGGCGUCAUGGUCAUUGAACUUCAGUCCCACAAGGAGGAGGAAAUGAUGGCCUCAGCCUUGGAGACGGUUUCAGAGAAGGGAUCGUUAACAUCAGAAGAGUUUGCUAAGCUCGUGGGAAUGUCUGUCCUCCUGGCUAAAGAGAGGUUGCUUCUUGCCGAGAAGAUGGGCCAUCUUUGCCGAGAUGAUUCAGUGGAAGGCUUGCGGUUUUACCCAGAUUUAUUUAUGACACAGAGCUGAGUUCUGUAUCUGAAAUAACUUGUUAUCCAUAUACUUGCAUCAUGGAGAGGUUGAAUGCCAUUGAGCUAAGGGUAAACCCUGAUAAACAGAAUUUACUGGAACUUUGCAGUAUCAUACAAGACCCUUUUGAUUUCUCCCUAAAUAUUAUGAUCCAGGAAGUUUCUCUAGGAUACAUAUAGGAAAAUACAGAAAGCUGAAUGCCAAUAUGAAUUCAAAAUCAUGCUACUGUUAUAUAGAAACCCUCAGAGUUUAACUGGAAAUUUGAUGGAUUUUAACUCGAUCUUCAAAUCUGACCAUUUUUUAAAGAAAAGAAUUUAGUUCAUAGGGGAAGAAAAAGAAGUUGCGUGUUUGGACAGGUUAGAUCAUUAUUUUGGUGUGACUGAAAUUCACUGAAUUGUAAAAGAAGUUUUUCUUUGCAUUUAGUGUGCACUUUGGGGGGUUUUCAUGAAGAAGUUUAGACCUACAGUGUAGUUUAAGAACCUGACAACAUCCAACUGCAGGAUGUAACGUGAGGCUCUUCCUAAGGGCUUUUUAUAGGCAGCCAUAGGCAUGUCUUUAGCAGAUCAAAUAAAG